rnacentral:rRNA from 1 species
GCAUUAUACCGCGAAACUGCGAAUGGCUCAUUAUAUAAGUUAUCGUUUAUUUGAUAGCACAUUACUACUUGGAUAACCGUGGUAAUUCUAGAGCUAAUACAUGCUAAAAAUCCCGACUUCGGAAGGGAUGUAUUUAUUAGAUUAAAAGCCAACGCCCUUCGGGGCUCUGUGGUGAUUCAUAAUAACUGGUCGAAUCGCAUGGCCUUGCGCCGGCGAUGGUUCAUUCAAAUUUCUUCCCUAUCAACUUUCGAUGCGAGGGUCUUGUCCUCGCAUGGUUGCAACGGGUAACGGAGGGUUAGGGCUCGACCCCGGAGAAGGAGCCUGAGAAACGGCUACUACAUCCAAGGAAGGCAGCAGGCGCGCAAAUUACCCAAUCCCGACACGGGGAGGUAGUGACAAUAAAUACUGAUACAGGGCUCUUUUGGGUCUUGUAAUCGGAAUGAGUACAAUUUAAAUCCCUUAACGAGGAACAAUUGGAGGGCAAGUCUGGUGCCAGCAGCCGCGGUAAUUCCAGCUCCAAUAGCGUAUAUUAAAGUUGUUGUGGUUAAAAAGCUCGUAGUCGAACCUUGGGCCUGGCUGGCCGGUCCCCCUCACCGGGUGCACUGAUCCAGCCGGGCCUUUCCCUCUGUGGAACCCCAUGGCCUUCACUGGCUGUGCGGGGGAAACAGGACUUUUACUGUGAAAAAAUUAGAGUGCUCCAGGCAGGCCUAUGCUCGAAUACAUUAGCAUGGAAUAAUAGAAUAGGACGUGUGGUUCUAUUUUGUUGGUUUCUAGGACCGCCGUAAUGAUUAAUAGGGACAGUCGGGGGCAUCAGUAUUCAGUUGUCAGAGGUGAAAUUCUUGGAUCUACUGAAGACUAACUACUGCGAAAGCAUUUGCCAAGGAUGUUUUCAUUGAUAAGGAACGAAAGUUAGGGGAUCGAAGACGAUCAGAUACCGUCGUAGUCUUAACUAUAAACUAUGCCGACUAGGGAUCGGACGAUGUUAUUAUUUGACGCGUUCGGCACCUUUCGAGAAAUCAAAGUGCUUGGGCUCC